rnacentral:tRNA from 1 species
GCCUCCUUAGCUUAGUUGGUAGAGCAUCCGCUUAGUAAGCGGGAGGUCGCCGGUUCGAUUCCGGCAGAAGGCU